GGUGUGUUACCUGUCAUGAGGAAGAGGAGUCAGGUGUGUUACCUGUCAUGAUGAAGAGGAGUCUCUAUCUCUCAGGUGUGUUACCUGUCCUGAUGAAGAGGAGUCAGGUGUGUUACCUGUCAUGAGGAAGAGGAGUCUCUAUCUCUCAGGUGUGUUACCUGUCAUGAUGAAGAGGAGUCAGGUGUGUUACCAGUCAUGAUGAAGAGGAGUCUCUAUCUCUCAGGUGUGUUACCUGUCAUGAUGAAGAGGAGUCAGGUGUGUUACCUGUCAUGUGGAAGAGGAGUCUCUAUCUCUCAGGUGUGUUACGUGUCAUGAGGAAGA